rnacentral:sRNA from 1 species
CAUUGUUCCUGUCUCUUAACCAGGCAUGAGAUACAUUGUUCCUGUCUCUUAACCAGGUAUAGGUGGGGAAUGCUCAAAUGGCCCCUGAGAGAUGGGCAGUUCCAGAUACGGAAAAAGAAGGCUUUGACCAAAGCAGCAUGGUAUCUCUGACUCAGUUUCAAGGCUUACAGUCACCCCAGUGUCCAAGGCAGAAGCAAGUGCAUUUCUUUCUUUGCAAAGCAAAGAGCCUCUCCACACCUCUGCGGCGAGAUUAACAAGAAGCUGAAGCCAUUUCAGGUGUCUGGUGGAAAUCUAGUCUGCAGAUGUACGCUGCUUUUCAGCCAGCGGUGGUGCACGCCUUUUAUCCCAGCACUCCGGUGGCAGAAACAGGCUGAUCUCUGAGUUAAGACAAGGUCAAGUUCAAGACAGCCAGGGGUAAACAGAGAAACACUGACUCAAAUAAAUAACUGAUAACAAAAAUAAAAAUAAA